rnacentral:rRNA from 1 species
AGGAGUCCAACAUGCGUGCGAGUAGGAGGGUGAAAACCCCACUGCGCAACGAAAGUGAGCCUGUCAAACAGGGCCGCGUCGAGCGAGCUCAGCAGGCAUGUUGGGACCCGAAAGAUGGUGAACUAUGCUUGGGAAUGGCGAAGCCAGGGGAAACUCUGGUGGAGGCUUGUAGAGAUACUGACGUGCAAAUCGUUCUUCUAACCUGAGUAUAGGGGCGAAAGACUAAUCGAACCAUCUAGUAGCUGGUUCCCUCCGAAAUUUCCCUCAGGAUAGCUGGCGCCAUGCAGUUGUGCCGGGUAAAGCGAAUGACUAGAGGCAGGGAGUUGUAACAACUUUCACCUAUUCUCAAACUUUGAAUCGGCACGAAAGAGAAGUUACUUCGCUGAACUUCUCUGCGAAUGUAGGCGCCAUGUGGGCCAUUUUUGGUAAGCAGAACUGGCGACGAGGGCUGAACCUAAGGCGAGGUUAAGGCGACCAAUUGGCCGCUCAUCAGACCCCAGAAAAGGUGUUAGUUCAUUUAGACAGUAGGACGGUGGCCAUGGAAGUCGGAACCCGCUAAGGAGUGUGUAACAACUCACCUACCGAAUGGACUAGCCCUGAAAAUGGAUGUCGCUAAGCAGCCAGCCGAUACCUCGCUGUGCAUCUUGCUUGGAUGCACAGGUAGGAGGGCGUGAGGGCCGCGGCGAAGUGCGCGUGAGAACGCGUGUGGAGCGACCUUCAGUGCAGAUCUUGGUGGUAGUAGCAAGUAUUCAAAUGAGAACUUUGAAGACUGAAGUGGAGAAGGCUUUCAUGUGAACAGCACUUGGACAUGAGUCACUCGGUCCUGAGUCCAGGGGGAGUCCCGCGAAGACACUGUCCAGGACGAAAGGGAAUGAGGUUAAUAUUCCUCAAGCAGGCGUUGGGUGCUUAGUGGCAACACAAACGAACUCAAAGACGUCGGGGCGAGGUCCCAGGGAGAGUUCUCUUUUCUUCUUAACAAGUCGCUGCCUUGGAGGUCAUUGCGACGAGAGAAGGCUACAGACUUGGAAGAGCAGCACACCCUGAGUGCUGUCUGGUGCGCCUCCCACGGCCCUUGAAAAUUUGAGGGAAGAACUGCACGCCUGACCGUACCGAAACCGCAGCAGGUCUCCGAGGUUAGCAGCCUCUAGUCCGUAGAACAAUGUAGAUAAGGGAAUUCGGCAAACUGGAUCUGUAACUUUGGGAAAAAGAUUGGCUCUGAGGGCUAGGUCCAAGACCCCGGCUCGUUUCGUGGAGUUCUGCGAACUGUUGGCAACUUCGGUGAGUGGAAUGAAGCGGGACAGCCGGUCAGUCGAAGACAGCGAAUAGCCGGCUCAGAACUGGAGCAGCGAGAGGAAUCCGACUGUUUAAUUAAAACACAGCAUUGUGAGGGCCUGAAAAGGUGUUGACACAAUGUGAUUUCUGCCCAGUGCUCUGAAUGUCAACGUGAAGAAAUUCAAACAAGCGCGGGUAAACGGCGGGAGUAACUAUGACUCUCUUAAGGUAGCCAAAUGCCUCGUCAUCUAAUUAGUGACGUGCAUGAAUGGAUUAACGAGAUUCCUACUGUCCCUAUCUACUAUCCAGCGAAACCACAGCCAAGGGAACGGGCUUGGCGGAAUCAGCGGGGAAAGAAGACCCUGUUGAGUUUGACUCUAGUCUGGCUUUGUGAAAUGGCGUAGGAGGUGUAGCCAAGUGGGAGCCCUGCGACCUUGAAAAACCACUACUCUUGAUGUCAUUUUACUUACCUCGUUGGGUUGAAGCCGCUCAGCGGUUCUAGCCUUAUGGUCAACGCGGGAGACAGAGCCAGGUGGGGAGUUUGGCUGGGGCGGCACAUCUGUUAAAAGGUAACGCAGGUGUCCUAUGGCAAGCUCAGAGAGAACAGAAAUCUCUUGUCGACCAAAAGGGGAAAAGCUUGCUUGAUUUUGAUUCUCAGUACGAAUGCAAACUGUGAAAGCAUGGCCUAUCGAUCCUUUGCUUUUUACGAGUCUUAAACCAGAGGUGUCAGAAAAAUUACCACAGGGAUAACUGGCUUGUGGCAGCCAAGCGUUCAUAGCGACGU